UUCCUUCUGCCACUAAAAAAAUACAAAAAACGAGUUUUUAAAUUGUGCGGUAUGUUUAGUUUUAUUUUUUAUUUUACUUUUUAAAGUUUAUUUAUUUUAAGAGAGAGAAUAAGCAGGGGAGGGACACAGAGAAUCCUAAAUAGCCUCCACACUGUCAGCAUGGACCCCAAUGUGGGGCUCGAACUCGCAGACUGUGAGAUCAUGGCUUGAACCAAAAUCAAGAGUUGGACGCUUAACUGACUGAGCCACCCUGGUGCCCCAUAUGCAGUAUAAUUUAAAUUCUUCAAAAAGGAAAACAUUUUAUGCAUGCUAAAUAUAUUUCAGGGAGAUUUAAUAUGUGAGGUUAUGAUUAUCCCAGUGAUGAAGCUUAUACUUCUAUUUCCUUAAAACAGGAAGUAUCAUUGCUUUCUCAGGCUCCAGGAAGGCAGAAGAUUGAUUUGAAUUAUGAAAGGACAAGUUAGGAAAAUAAUUGAGGUUAGUCUCAGAUCAGUUAGAUUGGUGGCCAUUAAUGAAAACACACUUGUUUUUAUAAUUUUGUCUGUAACCCAAUUUCUUUUUUCCCCCCAUUUUAGAAACUUAAUUUUAAAAUUUUUAUUUAAUUUUUUAAAUAAUUUUUAAAGUUUAUUUAUUUAUUUUGAGAGAGAGAGCAGGGGAGGGGCCUAGGGAGAGAGAGAGAAUCCCAAGCAGGCUCUGUAGUGCAGGAUCAUGACUGAACCGAAAUCAAGAGUCAGAUGCUUAACUGGCUGAGCCACCCAGGGAGGGGCCCUGUAAAAAAAAAAAAAAAAUGAAAGUAAACUUGCAUUUAUCUGUCAGUCUGUCUGUCUGUCUGUCUGUCUAUCUAUCUAUCUAGAUCCAAGUUAGUUAACAUGUAGUGUAGUAAUGGUUUCAGGAGUAGAAUUCAGUGAUUCGUCACUUACAUAUAACACCCAGUGCUCAUUGCAGCCAGUGCCCUCCUUGAUACCCAUCACCCGCUUAGCCCACCGCCCCCCCACCUCCCCAACAGCAACCCUCUGUUCUCUGCAUUUAAGAUCCUCUUAUAGUUUGCCUCCCUCUGUUUUUAUUUUAUUUUCCCUUCCUUUCCCCUAUGUGCAUCUGUUUUGUUUCUUAAAUUCCACAUAUGAGUGAAAUCUUAUGAUACUUGCCUUUUUCUGACUGACUGAUUUUGCUUAUCAUAAUACGCUCUAGAUCCAUCCAUGUUGUUACAAAUGUCACUGUUUCAUUCCUUUUGAUCACCGAGUAACAUUCCAUUUAAUACACACACACCCCCCACAUCUUCUUUAUCCAUUCAUCAGUCAAUGGACUUUUGGGCUCUUUCCGUAAUUUGGCUGUUGUUGAUAGUGGUGCUAUAAACAUUGGGGUGCAUGUACCGCUUUGAAUUAGCAUUUUUGUAUCCCUUGGAUAAAUACCUAGUGGUGCAGUUGCUGGGUCAUAGAGUGAUUCUGUGUUUAAUUUUUUGAGGAACCUCCAUACUCUUUUCCAGAGUGGUUGCAUUAGUUGCAUUCCCACCAGCAGUGCAAAAGUGUUCCUCUUUCUCUGCAUCCUCACCAACACCUGUUGUUUCCUGAGUUGUUAAUUUUAGCCGCUCUGACAGGUGUGAGGUGGUAUCUCAUUGUAGUUUUGGUUUGUAUUUCCCUGAUGAUGAGUGAUGUGGAGCAAUUUUUUCAGGUGUCUGUUAGUCAUCUGGAUGUCUUCUUUGGAAAAGUGUUUAUGUCUUCUGCCCAUUUCUUCACUAGAUUCUUUGUUUUUUGGGUGUUGGGUUUGAUUAGUUCUAAAGCAAUUUUUUUCUUUAUGUUUAUUUUUGAGAGAGAGAGAGAGAGAGAGAGAGAGAGAGAGAGAGAGAGAGAAAGAAAGAGUGGGGAAGGGACACAGAGAGAGGGAGACACAGAAUCCGAAGCAGGCUGCAGGCUCCAGGCUCUGAGCUCUCAGCACAGAGCCUGGUGCGGGGCUCGAACUCACCAUCUGCAAGAUCAUGAUCUGAGCCAAAGUCAAACACUUAACUGCCUGAGCCACUCAGGUGCCCCCAAGUUUGGUUAGUUCUUUAUAGAUUUUAGAUUCUAAGCCUUUAUCGGAUAUGUCAUUUGCAAAUGUCUUCUCCCAUUCUGUAGGCUGCCUUUUAGUUUUGUUGAUUGUUUCCUUCGCUGGGCAGAAGCUUUUUAUCUUGAUGAGGUCCCAACAGUUCAUUUUUGCUUUUGUUUCUCUUGCCUCUGGAGACAUGUUGAAAAAGAAGUUGCUGCAGCCAAAGUCAAAGAGGUUGUUGCCUGUUUUCUCCUCUAGGAUUUUGAUGCUUUCCUGUCUUACAUUUAGGUCUUUCAUCCAUUUUGAGUUUAUUUUUGUGUGUGGUGUGAGAAAGUGAUCCAGGUUCAUUCUUCUGCAUGUCACUGUUCAGUUUUCCCAACACCAUUUGCUGAAGAGACUGUCUUUUCUUCCAUUGGAUAUUCAUCUCUGGUUUGUUGAAGAUUUGUUGGCCAUACAUUUGGGGGUCCGUUUCUGGGUUCUCUGUUUUGUUCCGUUGAUCUGUGUGUCUGUUCUUGUGCCAGUACCAUACUGUCUUGAUGAGUAUAGCUUUGUAAUACAGUUUGAAGUCCGGAAAUUGUGAUGUCUCCAGCUUUGGUUUUCUUUUUCAGGAUUGUUUUGGGCUAUUUGGGGUCUUUUCUGGUUUCAUACAAAUUUUAGGAUUGUUUGUUCUAGCUCUGUGAAGAAUGCUGGUGUUAUUUGAUAGGCAUUGCAUUGAAUAUGUAGAUUGCUUGGGGGAGUGUAGACAUUUUAACAAUGUUUGUUCUUCAUUCCAUGAGCAUGGAAUGUUUUUCCCUUUCUUUGUGUCUUUUUCAGUUUCUUUCAUAAGCUUUCUAUAGUUUUCAGCGUACAGAUCUUUUACCUCUUUGGGUCGGUUUAUUCCUAGGUACCUUACAAUUUUUGGUGCAAGUGUAAAUGGGAUCAAUUCCUUGAUUUCUCUUUCUGCUGCUUCAUUAUUGGUGAAUAGAAAUGCAUCCAAUUUCUGUACAUUGCUUUUAUAAUCUGUGACUUUGCUGAAUUCAUGUAUCUGUUCUGACAGUUUUUUGGUGGUCUUUUGGGUUUUCCACUUAAGAGUGUCAUGUUGUCUGCAAAGAGUGAAAGUUUGAAUUCUUCCUUGCCAAUUUGUAUGCCUUUGAUUUCUUUUUGUUGUCUGAUUGCCCGGUUUCUUCUUAAUGGAAUUGGUAGCCCAGAGUUUCUUCCCUCUUGUGGUGGGAGAAAGUAGGGGGAGCCAGAGUGGGAAUGGCUAGGAAAGGAGCUCUUCUCAAAAGAUCCUUCUUUGUUUUGGCAGAUCUGUGGAGAAAGUGAUUCUCAUGGGAGGUGGGUGGGGAGUGACCAUUUGUGUUUCUUUCCUUUGUGGGUAGCUUGAAGGAAUCUAGUGAUAACCCAUGUCUUUGGUCCCAAGUAGCUGACUAGAAGAGACUUAGUCUUAUCUGAGUGUCACUAAGUGAAAAGAAACUAGGAGAAAAGAAGAAAACAAUGACGUGGGGAAACAUUUUUUUUUUUUUUUUUACAGUACAUCUUUUUGAAGUGUCAUCUCAUUUUCUGUGCAUUAUUGGAAUGUACUUUUAACUGACAUUUGAAGUGCUUGUGAGGCCAGAACUCUAGAACAAACUGAUGGAGGUAAAGUCUGACUUCUCUCUUCCUUUACUGGUACCUUUGCUAUUUCCAUCACUGCUUUCUCGGUUCUGAUUAAACCUUGGCAGCUACGUGAAACCCAACCCAUGCGUCCCAGAAGGCAGGCCACACGUGUAAUUGGGUAAUGUAGGAGGACAUGUGCAGUGAGUCCCUUUCCACUCACUGAUAGUGUCCUGGGUAGUAGCCCUGAGAAGAGACAGUGAAGACGCGGUGUUUGUGAAUACCAACUGAGAUCAUCACCAAGCAACACACUGCUACUUUUUCUAGUGAUGAUAAAUUACUUCUAGCCUUUAUCUUAGCCAUUUCAUAUAUUCUGAAAAGGAUUGCAUCCUGUCCCCUGCCAGUUGGUCUUGGACUCUGGCUGGGUUACCUGUGAAAGUGAGAUAGCGAACUGGGAUCCACACACGAGACAGGUAAAGUCUAGGAGUAAGAGCGGGAGCCAAGUGUGGGGAAUACAGUGAGUUGAAAUGAAGUAGGAAUAGGGGUAGAACAAAGGAAGACACAUGAUGGAGAGCAAGAUAAGGAAGAGGUAGUGACUAGGGGAGCUUAUAGUGGGGAAUGAGGCAAGGCUCUGUAUUAAAAGCCAGGGCAGUGGUCAGACACCUAGAUACAUACUAGAGGCAAGGUAGUUGGUUAAAAGUUUAUAAUUUAGGAGCCAGAACAUCUCUUCCCUGAAAAAGAAGACUAUCGUUUUGAGCCAUUUGUAGCACCGCUCCAGAGACAGCAGUCUUUCCUAGGUGGGAAAGUUCUUCCUAGGUGGGAAGGUUCUUGCUAGGCAAUAGCUACUCCCAGAUGAGCCAACACAGAAAGCAGCAGUUCACUUUCCGUGCUGAAUCGGAAUCUUUCCAUGCAUUCUGCGUUGGCUGUCAUCCAGGAGUGAAGACAGUUGCUGACUCUUCAGCAGCUGGUCUAAAUCACAAGGGCGUUUACGGUGGGUAAGUAAGGUUUUGGUAAGUUCUCUCUCAAAGUAGAUUUCUAGAUCACAGUCCAGAAAAUCUGAAUAUGUUUGUAUGCAGAAACUGUGAGGUAGGUUAACUUUGGAAGCAAAUCACUAGAUUAUUGUGGGCUAGCACACGAUUGACAUUUGGAAGAGAUGCAUCUUGACAUCUUCCAAAAGUCCCAGUUUUGUGAAUACCAUUAUGACAUAAAAUUUUCCUUCGCAAAAUAUAAUUUUUGCCCCGCUGGACCACUCACCAAAAAUAUUUUUGCAGAUGGCUUUUUCUUGUUUCUGACUAAGCAUAUGGUCACUGGUUCCAUUUAUAAGUCAGAGUCCUCCCCGAUGACUUUCCUCCCUUGUCCUUUUGGCUAACACUAGUCAUUCCUUAAACCUCUUCACUUUUACCACCAGCUGUAGCACUUGGCUGCUUUUUAAUGUCCAUGUCUGUCCGAAGAAAAAGCUUUAAAACAACAGCUUCGGGGAAGUUACUGUGUUCUCAGGCAACAAGUAGAGAAGGAUACACAAAGACAACAAAAUACACAAACCCACCUGUUGGGCUCAUUUGCAAGUGAAGUGACUGCUUCCUUUCACCGGCCCGUGGCCUGUGCGGGGCCUGCUGCUCACAUUCUAGCCUCUGCAAAGUUGCCUGGACUACAUUUUCAUGGUGGCCCUUUUCUGUACAUCUGGAAUGGCUGAAACUAAAAACUUUAAGUCGAUCACUACCAAAGUUCUUCUGUAUAUUCUUCCUUUCAUCUGUCAGUUUUCUUUGAAAAAACUUAGAGUGGUGCCUGGGUGGCUCAGUCAGUUAAGUGUCUGACUUGGGCCCAGGUCCUGAUCUCACAGUUCUGUGAGUAGAGCCUGGUGCCUGCUUGGGAUUCUGUGUCUCCCUCUCUCGCUGCCCCUCCCCUGCUCGUGCUGUCUCUCUCUCAAAACUAAAUAAACGUUAUAAAAAAUUAAAAAAAAAAAUUUAGAGCAAUUUGUUUGUAAAUUAAUACUAACUUCACCAAUAAUUAGAUUGUAGGGAUGUUAGGAUUCUAACCAUAUUAGAUAAAGUUCUUAAAAGAGGUGUAGAGAAAUUAAACAGCAUGUAUUUCUAUAUCUGACUUUCUUGUUGGUUUUCUGGUAGGAUUUCCUUUUAGAACCAAAUGAAGAUAACAUUUUAGAUGUUACCUUUGUUCAAGGUGUGCUUUUAAUUCUGGGGAUAAAUGUAAUGGUAUAAUUCUCUGACAUCACGCUUAUUUGGAAACAUAUGUUAGGUUCCUUUGGGUUCUUUUUUUAUUUGGAAAUUUCAUCAGUUUGUAAAUAACUACAGCUGUUGUCAUGUGUUGGUGCAAACCUUCCAUUAUCUGUGUUUCCUGCUCCCAUCAUAUACCACCAUUAGUGAAGUUAGCCAUGUGAAUUUAAUUUCCAGCUGUAGAUGUAAGGAAGUGAGCAUGAUUGUUUCGAUCUAUUGUUAAGGAAAGGCUGAAUGCUUACUAGGUUUUCUUACACACCUUUAAAAGUAUUGUGAAUUUCUUACGUUAUUUGUCUUUGAGGAUAUGUAGAUAAAUCUUAGUACUACAUUUGAAAACUAUGGUUGUGUAUAUUCAGUGCUUCAGCUGUAGGACUGAAAAUUCUUCUUGAUAUAGAAGAAUUUUGAAAUUUACAGUGUUUAUAUUUUGUAGAAUGAAUUCUGUCAAUUAGGAAUUCUUUUCGUGGAAUAAAAUUAAGUUGUGUUCAUGAAAUAUGGAAUGAAGUACCAAGGCUAUCUCUCUCUUCCCACUCCCCUUUUACCUGUUCCUGUCAAAUACUUUAUUUAAUAUAUCUAUAAUUUUCAAGUUAUAAAGUUUCUUUCAAAGUUUGGUUUUAAAUGUCAUAUACCAUAAUGCUUAAUGUCUUUGUUCUGUACUUAUUGGCACUUGCAUUUUAAUCAUCCAUCCAUCCAUCCAUCCAUCCAUCCAUCCUUGUCUGUGUUGUUUUUGGAAGUUCCUGUGCUAUAAAGAUUUACAGUUUAGUGGGGUCCUUGUAAUUAUAAUGCCGGGCCUUUGAAUUUUUGAAACUUUUAACUUUUAAACUUUUUUUUAACUGUUAAACUUUUUUAACUGUUUUAACUUUUAAACUUAUUUUUCUCAGUUCUGAUUGAAAGGAUGAGUUUCAAUAAGAGGCUUAACAUUUCAUAAAGAAAUGCAUCUAUGUUUUGGCCACUCUUUGAAUUAUGUUGACGCUUUUAAUUAACUUUUACAGGUAGCACCACACCAGGAUGACAAGUAAUGCCAGGUGGUGUGAAGUUUGUCCUGAGACCUGUGAGGCACUUUCAAGAGCCUGACAGUUCAGAGGAAUGUGGUUUGGAGCCACUCAUUUGAGUCCAACCCUCCCCAAUCCCACAUCCCCCAACCCUUUUUGUCAGGUGAGUAGACGCAGACUACCUUUAGUCUGUAGAUUUUUGUAGAAAACAGUCAUGAAAUGUAUCUGAAAAGUUUUAACAAAGCCCAUUCCUCUGGGUCCAGGUACUUAGCAGUGGGCCUGGCAAGAACAGCAGUGCUUUUGUAAAACUUUGCAAUUUCUUUCUUUCAUCCUUUUGCAAGAUGUUCAUAUAUUUUGAAGAAAUCUCCUGACUUUCCAUUCACUCCCAAGUCUUUUGUGAGAAGGAAUGUGAAUUUUUCUUAAGCACUAAAAUUGCCUUACUGAGGAGUGAAUCUGUGGCAAGAUACUGGCGAUGAAGAACCCAGGAGGCUGUGUGAUGGUGCAGGGUUGGUGGCUUUUUGGGGAAAUUAGGGGUUCCUUGUGCCUCAUGGCCUUGGGCUGUGUAGAGUGAGUCAGCCAAGCGCAGAGAAGUGAAGUCACUUGCUCAGAGGCAUACAGUUUGUUAGCGGCAGAGCCAGAAUUGCAGCCCGAUCUCUAGUAACACUGCGCUUUUCCCUUUUCCAUUGUGCUCCUUGACCUCUGACUGUUGUCUGGAUGGCCAUAAUACUUGAGAAAACACAGUGUUGUAUUCCUCAAGUAGAGGGCAUUUUAUCCUUCAAGUCAGGACUUAGGUCCUGGAAAUUGGUGUUUUUCUUUAUCUUUUAAAAAAUCUUAAGCUAUGUAAAACGAUUCUGCUUUGAACGAAGGGAACUGGUAUCUGCCAAAAUCACUAUUGAGCUUCUCUAGUCAUUUAUUUUCUUGAAAUUGAAAUGAAACUUUCUGAACACAGCCUUACUGAAUAUGGAUUUCAGAGCCAUAAUAAUGCUUCUUGCCUCUGCAGAUUUUGAAUUGAUCUGAGUUUGGCAGUGAAUUAUGUAUGUGUUAUUUCAGGAAUUUUGCACAUGCCCUGCUUUAAACCACUGAUUAUUUUUGUAAAAUGCUGUUGUGUGGAUUUGGCUCAUUCCAUUGACGCUGAACUCAUCAGAUGGCUAUAUUGUCUUCUAGGAAUGUGACUUGAAUUCAUUAAAUGACACAGGCAACAACAUCUGUUUUAUAAAGCUAGUUUAGUUCCCUAAAACUUAAAAUUUUCAAAUUUACAGCUUACAAAUAGAAUAAACCUUACUUCUUUUAUGCCGUAAAAAGAUUUCCACAGAGUUUUGAUGAUGACUUAUUUUAGCCUUAUUUUUAACGUAAUUCUUACAACUUAUUUUCUUAUUCUAUUGUUCAUUUUCAAGGAAAAGUAAUAUUAGGAAUGUUGGAAACUUACAGUCUUAAAUGAGUGGCUCUCAACUUUUUUAGGUCACCUUAUCCGUUUGAGAUUUGCAGAAAGCUUUGGAUGGUCUAGAAUAAGCACCUGUACAUGUGCUUCUGAAACUGUGUACAGCUGUGGGGAGUUGGAGCUCUCUAGGGCAGAUCCCCUCAAGUUCAUUACCUCCUGGUUGAUGUUGGUUGGUGUCUUGUGCUUCAUAUGUGUUACUAAGUAUGUUAAUAAUGCUGGUGACUCUGCACCAAAGUUACCUUCUUUAUGUACAGAUUUUAGAUUUAUAGAAUAUUGGAAUUGCUGUUAAAAAAUAAAGUAUUUUAUGAUGUUGGUCCAUUAACGUAUCAUUUAUAUUUCUCUGUUGUAUUGUCUAUUUUUAUUCUUUUCCUCUUCCUUGUGGUUUUUCCAGGGAAGGAAACCUAUCCAUCUCAAGGUUUCUUGAUUUAUUAUCCCAGCACUGAUUUGGAUACGUUUGAUGAGCAAGGUUUAUAUGAUAGAUAUAUGGUAUUAAAAUAAAAAUAUGCUUGUCAGAUUUCAUCUUGGGAGGUUUGUUCCUUUAUGCCUCCUGUGUAUAAUAUUUCCAAGUUGUGUUUUCAAUUUGGGAUAGAAUAUGUUAGAGAAAAUUGGGACUUAGGUAGAGGUAGAUACUCUCCUAUGAUAAACCAUAGGGCUUGUGUAUCAAACCAGUGGAUGUGCGUUAUUAUGUGUAGCCGAUCCAGUACUCUUUCUUUUUUCUUUUCUUCCCUUUUUCUUUUUCUUGUAAUGUUUUGUUUACUUUUGAGAGAGAGGGAGGGUGUGAGCGGGGCAGAGGCAGAGAGAAGGAGAGAGAAUCCCAAGCAGGCUCUGCACUGUCAGCACGGAGCUUGACGGGGGGCUCGAAUUCACGAACCGUGGGAUCACGAUCUGAGUUGAAGUUGGACACUCAACCAACUGAGCCACCCAGGUGCACCACUCUUUUUUUAAAACAACAGUUUAAAAAGUUUUAAGAAUUUAUUUUGAGAGAGCAGUAGAGAGAGAGAAAGUGCACAAGUGAGAGAGGGGAAGGGAGAGAGGGAGAGAGAAUCCCAGUCUCCCGUCGAUCACGACUUGGGCCGAAACCAAGAGUUGGACGCUUAACUGACUGAGCCGCCCAGGUGCCCCUGACCUGGUACUCUUUGUAGGGGCCGUGUUCUGUGGCAGUGUGGAGUCUCACCAGCAGCUUCAAGGCAAGCACGUGUAUCUGCUAGCUAAUUCUGAGGAUGGCUGUUCUUUUGUAACAUCUCUUCAAACUGGAUUUUUACUUUAAACUCAGAGGAUGGGUCCAUUUACUUGCCAGCCCACCCCUUGAAAUGAUAAUGGCAAUAGCUACCGUAUCUGCUGUGUGACAAGAACUUUUAUGAUGUUCUCUACCUCCAGCCCUUUAUUUAAAAAGCUUUAACUUCCUGACUACUACUCAUUUCAUCAUUUAUCUUUAAUCAUUAAACCAACUCAGAUUUAUUGAUGGGAAAUUGAGGUUCAGCGAGGGUGCUGCCUUUGAAGUGUGCUUAAUAAGUAUCACUUAUGUUAUCGUGGGCUUUAUGUACCAGAACUGUUUGCUUGCUGUAUUUCUUUCCCUCCCAGUGGGCUAUAGGUGUAUUGAGGACAGUCUCCAUACAUAGUCCUAAUACUAGUAAUAUAGUGCCUGCUAAGUUAUUAAGCAAUAGUUGAACAAUUGCUGGUUGAAUGAAUUCCCAUGAGUUUUACAAUUUAGACCCGAUAAGCAAAAUUAUUUUUCUUCACCUGUUUCUCUCACCAGACUACAAAUGGUGUUUUACUAAUAAGUGUGACAGUUUAUUGUGAAUGUAAUUGAUGUCUUCGUUUAGCAUCAUUUAUACAGUAUGUGAUGAGAAAGGUGGCUAAAAUGUAUGAAAUUGUUAACAUUGUCAAAAGUACAAAAGUGCCUUGGAAAUGUUGAAUGGCUGCCAUUGCUUUUUUUUCUGGUCUCAGAAGAAAAUGAGACACUUAAAAAGGCAGAGGAUUCUGUCACUUUAUCAAACAAUCUUACAUUAGUACGUGAAUUUAAUCACAUAUGAUUCUUUAAAUAGGGUGUUUAAAAUGUUUUCUUCUCUUCUAUUUGAACUAUAACAAAGUAAUUUGGCUUACUGCUGAUUUAAAUGAUAUUACUUAGAAGACACAGUCUGGGAUAGAAAAUGUUCGUAUAGUCUUGAACCUUCUAAGGAAGGAAUAUAAUUUUCUAAUUAAUGCCUUUUACUGUGUAAAGAUAGUCGUUUUAGGUGAUUAGCUUCCUAAAUGUUGCAAGUAUGAUAUGAGGGCAAAUAUAUUUCCUUAUUUUGGGGGAUGUGGGCAAGGGUAGGAUUUGAUACUGGACGAAAAUAUUAUUUUUCCUAUUACAUGUUACAUGUUUGAAUUAAAAAAAAAAGCGUUUAGUAAGUAUGAAGUUCCAGUCUUAAAAUUUGAUGACUGUUUAACCAAAUGGGAGCUAUUUUCUGAAAGUGCUUUAGGACAAUCAAGUGCUAGUGCUUUUACACGCUUAUUCAAAGUACAAAUUUAGGCGUUUGAUGAAAGUAUUUUCUGAGAGAGAAUGCUUCAAAGUCAGAUUAUCAGCUUCCGUAAGCCUCAAGGGUGACACAGUUUAAAGUUUCGUUCCUCUAGAUAAGGGCUUAGCGUGUUCUGCAGAUGCGGGUGUUUAUUGUUUGAGGAAAAGCUGUUUGACAUGAACAUAAAGUGUGUGAAACCUGUGCCCCUUUUAUGUAAAGUCUUUUCUCCACUUUCUUAGAUAGAGAUGGCUAAGAUUAUGUUUUUGAAAUCUACUAAAAAUCAAAAUUUGCUUCGAGGAUAACACCUGUUUUUGUGGCGGGCUAGUGUUAUAUAAAAUGGGUCUGCCCUCUCGUGUAAAAGCCCAUAGAGAGCAUAUGGAAGAGACGAGGGCAUAGAUGGGACUGCACAGGGAAGGGAGUGGUUAGAUGGCCAGUUUGGGAGGCUUAGAGGAAGAGCAGCAGAUCAGUAGAUGAUGGCUUCUUCUCUGAAUGGAUCAGACCUCUUUGCAGGGUCCAAGUCAGUGUAUCAAACUGUAGAUACAUAAUUUUUGCUAGCUCCUAGGGGCAGAGAGGGUGGGAAUAAGGACCUAAAGAGAGGUAGUAGGAGACCCUAACUUUGUGUAAUUGUACUCUUAAAGUCUUACGUUUCUUAGAAUCUGUGUCUUUAUCUAAAGCUAUAGCUGUAAUUCAUUUUACUAAUUUUCUUAAAGCGUGUUCAUGCAUUCAGUUUUUAUUAUUCAUCAGACAGUUUUUGCAUGCUUAUUAUGUGGAGAGCUGUGAUUGUAAGAGGCAUUUCUUGAGGUCCUGCGUUUAAGGAGCUCUUAGUCUAGAGGAGGUGUUGGAGGCAGGAUGACUGACACAAGAAAGAGGUUAACUAUCAAAUUAAGUGAUGACAAUAACUAACAUUCAGGAUGUUUUCUGGUUGAAAGACUGGGCCCUCAGCUCCAUGAGUGAGGUUGUCAGGCAAGUCUCAGUGUGCAGAGGCAGGCCUGUACUUCAAUGUGGGCUCAUAGGAGUGAAAGCAAUUUAUUCUACUUGGUUAUGGAUGGAAGCUUUGCACAAAGUAGGUGGGACCUAUUGCCUUUAAAGACUAGGAUUUCACUAGGCGGGGAGGAAGGAGAAGCCACGCAAAGCUGACAACAUAGCAUAAAAGGCAUGGUUUUUGUUUUUGAGUAUAUGACAUACACAGGAUACCUUGAAUACUCUUGGGUUACUUGAACAUUGAGUUUUAAGUCAAGGAGGGGAAGGAAAGACAGAUUAAGGUUAAGGUCAGGCUGUGAUGUAAGAUUGUACAUUUCAGGCCAAAGUCGGAGAAAAGAUGAAAUGGCCUAAUUUUUUUUUUUAUGGUUUAGUUCUUUAAUACUUUUUUUCUUUUCUUUUGCAUUCAUUAAAGUUCUUGGAUUCUUGGUGUGUGGAAGAAAAGUAACACAUAACAACUCGUGUUUGGGUUAUCUGUCAAACACUGUGGAGGGUAUUUCGUAUUGCUAAUGAAUGUGUGAUUUCAUAGGCAUUGUCCAAGUGGUCUCUUAUGUAAAAAUUUUCUAUCAAAGUGAUUGCUUUUAUGUGAACUUGUUAGUUGUUUUUUUUUUUUUUUGUUUUUUUUUUUUUGCUUUUUAUAAAAGAGGAUGGAUUGCUGGGUGGUAAAUGCCAAUUUGAAAUGUUAUCUUCCUUUUAUUAAAAAAUCAUAAAGUGUUGCUUUCUAAUUUUUAUGGUUUUAGCUAGCAGCUGGUGAAUUAACUACUUUUGAAGCAGUUGGAGCUCCCAUUUUUAUCCAAGAAGAACAUCUUCCUGAUGAAAAUAGAGUAGUGGUUGUGCUAAAUGACUGAAGAAUGGACAAAGAGAUAAAGCAGAGAACAGAGAUAAGAGUUUCUUGUGGCCGCAAGCCAAAGGCCCACUGACAUUUGCAGAUAACUAAAAAGCACGUGGUGUGUUUCUCCUACCGUCAGAUAGAUGCUGCCUGAGCUGUACUCUAGCUAUGAGGCCAGCCCCUCCGCUGCGUCCGCAGGUAGGCUGCGUGUCGUUGGCCGUGUUGUCAUCCACUAGAACUCCAGGCAAAUUUAUGGAUCACCUGGGUGGAGAUUUGGACUGAAGUAGAGUGAAUAUGCUGUUUAUCACCAGCAAAGAAUAUACUUUGUCUUGCAGGGUUGCUGAACUGAUGUUCUGUUUAUAGUUUGUGUUUCCGAUUUGUGUGGUUACUUUUUAUUUUUUUUAAUUUUUAUUUAUUUAUUUUUUUAAAUGUUUAUUUAUUUUUGAGACAGAGAGAGACAGAGCAUGAACGGGGGAGGGUCAGAGAAACAGACACAGAAUCUGAAACAGGCUCCAGGCUCUGAGCUGUCAGCCCAGAGCCCGACGUGGGGCUCGAACUCACGGAUCGCGAGAUCGUGACCUGAGCCGAAGUCAGAUGCUUAACCAACUGAGCUACCCAGGCGCCCCUGUGUGGUUACUUUUUAAACUGUGCUGUAUCUUUGAAAGACUCCUAAAGAUACAUAUUCUCAUCAAAACAAAUGAUUAUUUUAUAAUAAUCAUUAUAAAUAAAAUACAGUUGUUUGAAGCCAGGUCUGCGUAAACUAAAAUUAAUGCCCUUUGAUUAAUUUCGUAUUUCCACUACAACACAGAAAACUUUAACCAGUUGUGUAUCUUGACCAGUUCAGAUAAAAUCAUGGAUUCUUCAGCCAUAUAGUUAGCUGAACUACCAAAAAGAGACUUAAACCUCAUAGUGUAAAUGUAGCCUCCCUUGUCAGCAUUAUUCCUUUUCUGACUACUUAUUUUAAAUUUAGAGAGAAGAGUUAAUAGGCCGUUUUGAUUGAGUAAUUUGUUAUAGCACUAGCUGGGCUUUUGGUUUAUAUAUGUGAUGUAAGUUAACCAGAAAUUGUAUUCUUUGUUGGGAAUUCUGUUACUCAGUCCUGCAGUCUACUAUUCUGGUAGUCUUCUGCCCCAGUCCCAAGUUUUUACCACAGUUUUGAAAAGAAAAGCACUCUCAUCUCAUGCCUCAUUUCUCUGGGCAUAGAAACUGAAUUUCAAGGACUGUUGAGUUGCAGCCGAAGACUGGGCCAGUUAGACUCUUGUUAAUUGCACCUUAUUUAUUGGCCCUCCAUUUCAGCUUUGCUCUGUGGAACCACCUGGAAGAUCUCUGUGGUGUUCUGGGGUAGCAUGUGAGUUAUACAAAAAAACAAAAACAAAACUUUCAAAAUAUAAUUGAAAAAUUAGGUUAAAUGAAUUAACAUUUUUUUCCUUGCCACUUGAAAGUUAGAUUCUAUGUUACUUUACAGUGUUCCCUUUAUGUAAAUUUGUUAACAUUAAUUCAUCUAUCUGGGUAAUACGUGAUUCGGUCGUAUUCUCUUUUCUGAUGUAAGGCCAAUCUCUUGCGAUUGCUUUACUUGUUCUGAAACUGUGGUUAAAUACAUUUUGGAGCCUCUUUAUCUGUCCUUUAUAUGUGUAUUUUUAAAAAAUUCUUUACCUCUGCCACAUCCUAGUUAAAUUAAUUAUUCUAGUUCCUUCAUUCCUUUUCAGUUUUUCCCGUUUAAACUUCACCCCUUCUAUUGAAUUUUCAAUUUUAGUGCUUGUUUUAAAUUUCAAAAAUUUAUUUUCAAGCUUUCUAAAUUGAUUUUCUCAUUUCCACCUAAUCUGGUUUCACUUUUGCUUGUCUCAUGGUUUUUAUCCUUUUAUAAAAGAAAUUUAAUAACUUUUCUUAUGUUUGUUUAUCUUUUAGGAACUAUUAAACAUACUAUUUGCACGCAUCUUCCAGACUUUCCUGAUUCUGUUUUGUUUGGAGGGAUUGCAUAUUUUGGUUGCUGUAUUUGCAGACUUACUAGUUUUCUUCAUAUGUUGUGGUACAACC